AGGGCUGUAGCUCAAUUGGUAGGGCAUCUGCUUUGGAUAUGGAAGGUGCAAGUUCAAUCCCUUGCAUCCCCA